rnacentral:rRNA from 1 species
UGGGGAAUUUUGGACAAUGGGGGAAACCCUGAUCCAGCAACGCCGCGUGAAUGAAGAAGGCCUUAGGGUUGUAAAGUUCUUUUGUCAGGGAAGAAAGUUUCUGUGCUAAUACCAUAGAACGAUGACGGUACCUGAAGAAUAAGCACCGGCUAACUACGUGCCAGCAGCCGCGGUAAUACGUAGGGUGCAAGCGUUAAUCGGAAUUACUGGGCGUAAAGCGUGCGCAGGCGGAUAUGUAAGUUAGAAGUGA